rnacentral:lncRNA from 1 species
CCUCUUAACAGCCCUAUAAAGUGGAGAUUAAUGUCUCCAUCUCACAGAUGAGGAAAGCAAGGAUGAGGAACAGAAUGUGAUUUGUCCAAAGUCACAAAAAUGUUGCUUCAUCAGCCAUCCUCUGAUCAUGAGGAGAGACUGCAGAAGAUGAAAUUAAUGCCCUGCCUGAAAGCAAGCAUGAGAAAAAUAAGGAAACCGGGUCUCUGGGAAUGUCAUUCAGCCACUGGAUCAGACUCACCUGACAGCUGCUCUAUCUUUGGACUUUUGUGGUCCAUUGAAUUCCCUUAAUUAUGUAAGCCAGCUUGAGUUGCAUUUUUCUGUUACUUGCAACCAAAGCAUCUUAACAAAUAAAU